rnacentral:lncRNA from 1 species
GGAGACAGCCUGGAUUACAUAAAUGGUCAAGCGUUUACUACCAAAGACAGGGACAAUGAUCCAUGGAUAGCCAGCAAUUACAAUAAUAAUUGUGGUAUAUACAGCAAGGGUGCAUGGUGGUAUAAAGGGUGUGGACAUUCUAACCUGAAUGGGUUACACGUAGAAGGAGGACAGACUAAUUAUAAAGGAAUGUUUUGGUACCAUUGGAAGAAUAACUCGCAUUCAAUACAAACUUCGUCAAUGAUGAUUAGGAGAUUAUAAUUGAAAAAGCAUGUCAAAUUAUAUUACUGUAAAAAUAAAACAUUUCAUAUUGCAUUGUAUAAUCUGUUUGUUAUUGAGCAGGAACUACUUGCACGUUUUUGGUAUUUUAUAUAUGCUUUUGCUCAUUUUAACGAUCUAAAUGUCAGUUUGAAACUUUCUGUGAAAAUUACUAAUAGUCUCUUUCAUGUUAUAUACAUAAUAAUGUCUUUAAAUAUAAGCAACAUAUUCCCAGAUAAAAGUCUGUGUUACAAAAUGUAUCUCACAAAGAAGUCAGCAUGAUUUGUGUAAAUGUUCCAAACCAUAUGAGUAUUUGGACAUACGCGUAUGGCCAUGACUAUAUUUUUAUACUCAUAUGGUCCGACCGUACGCCUGUGGUCGGACCAUAUGAGUAUAAUACUCAUUUGGUUAUCAAGGGGCCGGACCAUAUGAGUAUUUAGACCAUUGAGUUUUGGUUUUUUUUUUCAAAUAACUUUUAAACGUUUCAGUAGGCUUGGGUGACAUUUACUACCAAACGGUAUCAUGGCUUUUUUGCUUUUGCAAGUCUUGGUUGUGCACGAUCCUUUUCAGGUACACAGUUUGUUUGCGAGUGAAAAGCGAGCCUUUUUGCAGAUCGAUGCGUACAGUGAUACCGAGGUCUUUGGACAUUCGGAUCUCUACGGUGGUAUAACAAGCUCUUACUAAAUCCCAAAUAUCGCAAAAUAACUGCAAUACACCAUAUUCACAAGAAAUUUAAAAUAAACCAUGCUCCUUUCCAGUAACUUUUUGUGAACAGUUCAUUAAGAAAUGUUGGGAAUUUAAUUAUUUAAGUCGACAUAUCGCAAUUCACCCGUAAUAACAAAUCGGCAAUGGUCAUCGGUAAUGACCAUCGGUAUAAAAUGUGACAAGUAUAAGUAAAAUAAACUUUGUGAAAAUUCUUAUUUUUCAUUUAGCUAAUCUUUUUAUCAUAAUAUAAUAAUAAAAUUACCUAUAUGAUAGCAUCUUUUUAAUGAACGAUCAUGCCAUAUGCAGAGUUUAGAACUAUUAAAAGUAAGCUGUUACAUACUGUUAAUUACCCCCACCAUACGCGUACGGUCGGACCUUGUGAGUAUACACCCGUAUGGUCAUGACUAUACGCGUAUAGUCCAAAUAGUCAUACGGUCCGGAACAUAAAUAUAUUUCUUGGUGAAAGUUGCUGCCCAUAUAUAUUUCGACCCAAAACUAUUUGUGAAUUCCACUACAAAUAAAAUAUGUGAGUUUUGACAUUUACGACGUCAAAAUAACAAUCCAAGUGAUCUAUUGGGAUUGAAAUGUCCACACAUGUUUAGUUAUCAAUACAAUUGAUAUAAAUUUUAAGGCACACAUUUAGAUUUUUUCAAUACUAUAGACCAGAAAGGCUUUUUUUUGGACUUCCUUUUUUGUUCUUGAAUACGUAAGACCAAGUUUUCUCGUCAAUAGUGUUUUUGUGUUGCAGCUGAUUACCAAAACGAGAGAUCUCAAUACGGUGCUUAUAUUUGAUAAUUGAAACUUGCGGUCUCGAGUGUUUGUUUUAAUUGAAGUUAUUUGGAUGUUUUAUAGGGUUUUAUUACAUACCGGUAAGAGCUGUAUGUUGAUUACGUGUUAACCGGCCUACGAUUUUGCUUUGUUUCUUAUAAUUAUAUUGAAUAAGAGAUACAGCUUUAGGACAUUAAUAAAGUAAUAUUGCGUAAAUGAUAAUGUUAGAGAUCAUAACGAAUUACUCUCAUAAAACAUGUUCUUGGAUUAAUUUGCACUUCUCAUAAGUGCAAAUUGGAAACCACACUUUUUUAAUCGUAGAAUCAUCAAAUUAAACUAUAAUAGUCUUGCCAAUUGCGUAGUUUCUUCUGUCAUCUAUUCUCACAUCGGACAUUAAAUAACAAUUGCCAUAUUCCUUACUUGGUCCAGGACAGUUUAAGAAAGAAAUAAACUAAUUGUUAUAGCAAUGCAUGAAUAGAUCGGCUAUUAAUGGGGCACAGUAAGUACCUAUAUAAAUACCUGCAACUUGCUGGUACAGUUUAUAGACGAAACGUACAUAUUUUUUUUACAGCAGAGAAUUUAAAGAUUUAAUCAUAUCUUCACAUUUCCAGUAAGUGUAUCUAGCAUACUUUACUUUUUCAUCACAGAAAUGGG